rnacentral:rRNA from 1 species
GACGCUGGCGGCAGGCCUAACACAUGCAAGUCGAGCGGAUGAGAAGAGCUUGCUCUUCGAUUCAGCGGCGGACGGGUGAGUAAUGCCUAGGAAUCUGCCUGGUAGUGGGGGACAACGUUUCGAAAGGAACGCUAAUACCGCAUACGUCCUACGGGAGAAAGCAGGGGACCUUCGGGCCUUGCGCUAUCAGAUGAGCCUAGGUCGGAUUAGCUAGUUGGUGAGGUAAUGGCUCACCAAGGCGACGAUCCGUAACUGGUCUGAGAGGAUGAUCAGUCACACUGGAACUGAGACACGGUCCAGACUCCUACGGGAGGCAGCAGUGGGGAAUAUUGGACAAUGGGCGAAAGCCUGAUCCAGCCAUGCCGCGUGUGUGAAGAAGGUCUUCGGAUUGUAAAGCACUUUAAGUUGGGAGGAAGGGCAUUAACCUAAUACGUUAGUGUUUUGACGUUACCGACAGAAUAAGCACCGGCUAACUCUGUGCCAGCAGCCGCGGUAAUACAGAGGGUGCAAGCGUUAAUCGGAAUUACUGGGCGUAAAGCGCGCGUAGGUGGUUUGUUAAGUUGGAUGUGAAAGCCCCGGGCUCAACCUGGGAACUGCAUCCAAAACUGGCAAGCUAGAGUACGGUAGAGGGUGGUGGAAUUUCCUGUGUAGCGGUGAAAUGCGUAGAUAUAGGAAGGAACACCAGUGGCGAAGGCGACCACCUGGACUGAUACUGACACUGAGGUGCGAAAGCGUGGGGAGCAAACAGGAUUAGAUACCCUGGUAGUCCACGCCGUAAACGAUGUCAACUAGCCGUUGGAAUCCUUGAGAUUUUAGUGGCGCAGCUAAC